rnacentral:rRNA from 1 species
GAUAAACGCUGGCGGCGUGCCUAACACAUGCAAGUCGAACGCCCUUUUGCGCAAGUGAGAGGGAGUGGCGGACGGGUGAGUACCACGUGGGUACCUACCUUGAGGUGAGGAAUACCACCGAGAAAUCGGUGACAAGACCGCAUACGCUCGGGCAACCGAGCAAAGUCAUGCAAAUGACGCCACAAGAUGAGCCUGCGCCUGAUUAGCUGGUUGGUGAGGUAACAGCUCACCAAGGCGACGAUCAGUAGCUGGUCUGAGAGGAUGAUCAGCCACACUGGGAUUGAGAACGGCCCAGACUCC